rnacentral:lncRNA from 1 species
GGAAGGACCAGGCGAACGGACUCGAAUGCGAGCGUCGGCCUGUGGGAACUGAAGGGGCGGCCUGGGGCUCUUACCGCUGGUGAGACCUGGCGUGUUUUAACGGGUGUUCUAACUGCCAGGACGCUGCAGAUGAAUUGCAAGGAGCGGCUACACGCUCUGGGGGCCCCGCUGUCAGGACUCUCAGUGUUUCCGUGCAGCACUGAUGGACCUGCGGCCGGGCGGUGUCUCUGCCUCGUUUCCCAGCAUGAGGGGCUGGCUCCCCUCCUCCCUCGACUCUCUGCGCAUCAGGUCGACGCUUGCUGGCUCCUGAGUCCCCGUGGACGCUCUUACAGUCAGUCCACACUCACUUUCUGGGCACAGGAGAGCUCACGGUCCUAACGCUGGGCAGCUGGCUGGAAGACGCAGGAAGGAGAGGCAGCCAGGCCGGCUCAGACGUCCGCAUGGGAAGGACUCAGCUGGGACGAGAGGCGGGAAGUGUUAGGGAUGCUACCUGUAAACGCUGCCUGACGGUGCAGAGUAAUUCUCCUAGUUCUGCUGAGACCUCUUUCAGGGCGCUAACGUGUGCCAAGAACUGUGCUGUUCUGGGCUUACGAAGAUUAAGAAGUUACCGAAGGGAGACUUCCUUGAAAAUAAUCACUUGUUUACACGUCAAGCAUGCCCGUCCUGGUGUUUCUGAAGCAGCCCUGUGCUCAGUGUCCGUGCCAGCAAACAGCGUUGUCUCAGGAGAGCUCUGUUUCCUUGGCUCUGGCAUUUCAGCUCCGCCGUUACCGUCUGGUAUGCACUAAGACGCCGGGGCGCCCUCCUGACAAGGGCUGUGGCUGGGUGUUCAGAGAAGGACGGGAGAGGCCGGCGUCCUGUUGCGUCCGAAUGCUCCUCUGUUUCCAUCACCGUGAAAUCUGCAGUUCUGUGUGUUCUCCCCGCAGCCCUAAGCCUGCAGUCGAGGAGGGAAGGUGUCUCAUGGAGCAGCAUAGUUACUGCCUCCUGAGGCAAGAAUUCAGGACCGAUGCCUGGAGUUCUGUCCAGUGUGGGCGUUCUGCGGAGCAGCCCAUUCUUCUCUGAAUCAGAGAGAAAGUCGGGAUGAGGCAAGAAUCAGAGAAAAGUGGUCUUUGACGUCUAGUGAUGAAAAAAGUGGACAGUGACCGAAGCUCAUGGACAUGCAGUUUUCCCCGAUCCCAGAAGCAGGAGCGACUCCCACCACAGCCUGUUUCGUUCUGCUCUGUCUGCUGCCCUCAUCACCUGCUUUCCCAUCGAGAGAAAACUCUGCUCUCACCAGGUGUCAGAUACCCACAUCCGGGACAGCUGUUUGGCCAGAGGCUGUGGUUACAGAGUCGCAAAUAUCCAUCAUUUUUGUCAAAUUGUCAAUACCCAUGUCUGCAUAAGGGUUCUGGGGAGCCUG